rnacentral:rRNA from 1 species
UACGUAGGGAGCAAGCGUUGUCCGGAAUCAUUGGGCGUAAAGCGCGCGUAGGCGGCCCCGUAAGUCCGCUGUGAAAGUCAAAGGCUCAACCUUUGAAAGCCGGUGGAUACUGUGGGGCUAGAGUCCGGAAGAGGAGAGUGGAAUUCCUGGUGUAGCGGUGAAAUGCGCAGAUAUCAGGAAGAACACCAAUGGCGAAGGCAGCUCUCUGGGACGGUACUGACGCUGAGACGCGAAAGCGUGGGGAGCGAACAGG